ACUCCUACGGGAGGCAGCAGUGGGGAAUCUUGGACAAUGGGCGCAAGCCUGAUCCAGCCAUGCCGCGUGAGUGAUGAAGGCCCCUAGGGUCGUAAAAGCUCUUUCGCCUGUGAUGAUAAUGACAGUAGCAGGUAAAGAAACCCGGCUAACUCCGUGCCAGCAGCCGCGGUAAUACGGAGGGGGUUAGCGUUGUUCGGAAUUACUGGGCGUAAAGCGCGCGUAGGCGGACUAUUAAGUCAGAGGUGAAAUCCCGGGGCUCAACCCCGGAACUGCCUUUGAUACUGGUAGUCUAGAGUUCGAGAGAGGUGAGUGGAAUUCCGAGUGUAGAGGUGAAAUUCGUAGAUAUUCGGAGGAACACCAGUGGCGAAGGCGGCUCACUGGCUCGAUACUGACGCUGAGGUGCGAAAGUGUGGGGAGCAAACAGGAUUAGAUACCCUGGUAGGAUAGCG
rnacentral:rRNA from 1 species